CAUUAGAUGGCUGAAAGAAAGCACUGGUCUCUUAAACCAUUUUAUAGUAAUUACGAACUACUUCUAAUGA
rnacentral:tRNA from 1 species